rnacentral:rRNA from 1 species
UCCGUAGGCGGGCAAUUAAGUCUGAGGUGAAAUCCCACAGCUCAACUGUGGAACUGCCUUUGAUACUGGUUGUCUUGAGUUACAGUGAAGUAGAUAGAAUAUGUAGUGUAGCGGUGAAAUGCAUAGAUAUUACAUAGAAUACCGAUUGCGAAGGCAGUCUACUAACUGUAUACUGACGCUAAUGGACGAAAGCGUGGGGAGCGAACAGGAUUAGAUACCCUGGUAGUCC